GACCCUGCCUUCGGGCGGGGGCUCCGGGUGGACACUUCAAACUCUUGCGUAACUUUGCAGUCUGAGUAAACUUAAUUAAUAAAUUAAAACUUUUAACAACGGAUCUCUUGGUUCUGGCAUCGAUGAAGAACGCAGCGAAAUGCGAUAAGUAAUGUGAAUUGCAGAAUUCAGUGAAUCAUCGAAUCUUUGAACGCACAUUGCGCCCCCUGGUAUUCCGGGGGGCAUGCCUGUUCGAGCGUCAUUUCACCACUCAAGCCUCGCUUGGUAUUGGGCAACGCGGUCCGCCGCGUGCCUCAAAUCGACCGGCUGGGUCUUCUGUCCCCCAAGCGUUGUGGAAACUAUUCGCUAAAGGGUGUUCGGGAGGCUACGCCGUAAAACAACCCCAUUUCUAAGGUUGACCUCGGAUCAGGUAGGGAUACCCGCUGAACUUAAGCAUA
rnacentral:rRNA from 1 species